ACCAAGUUGACGAGUCUCAAAUAGGACGAAACACGCGUCCUGGAU
rnacentral:hammerhead_ribozyme from 1 species